GUCAACGGCCAUACCAUGUUGAACACACCGGUUCUCGUCCGAUCACCGAAGUUAAGCAACAUCGGGCGUGGUUAGUACUUGGAUGGGUGACCGCUUGGGAACACCACGUGCCGUUGGCUCCC
rnacentral:rRNA from 1 species